AAGAGUCAGCCUAUCGGAAAGGUUGCACCGGGCACUGGGUGAGAAGGGUUCAAGCACGGCAUCAGAGACUAACUUCGAUGUCCUACAGUGAAAGACCUGACUUUUAAUAGGAACCAUUGCAGAGGUUCAUCUUCCUAAGAAGGCCACGCUAAGAGAAGGAAUUAGGAUACUAUGCUCACGUUUGGCUAGAGAUGCUGGAUUCAGAGAUCUGCACACAGAGAGAGAACCUAGCAGCAAAGUUACAUCCAAUGUUUGCUUUGAGAAUGUUCUAGAAGGCAGAUCCUUGAAUCAUCAUACAGCCAAUGCAGGUCAGAAGGAUGGAAAAUAGUGAAAGGCACUGGACUGGGCCUCUGGGUCCAGAGUCCCCUUCCUGGUUACACCAACAAGGCUGUGUGACCCUGUCCGUGUGGUGGUACUCUCUGGGCCUGAUUUCCCCACCAGAAAAACAAGGAUCGCCAAGAAGCCACCAGACCGCUUUGCCUGGCACUCCUUUUAUCUUCCUGGCCUGAGGGGGCCAUGGGCUAAUGAUCAGUGAAAUCAGAAAAGGCCAAGAGGCCCAGCUAAUCCACAAAUUGGAUCAUCCACCCCUGAAUAAUCAAGAGUCUCUGGCACAAAAGUUGGUUUCUCUCUUUGAUCAUCGACACACUCAGAACACACCUACGGUUGCUUCUUUCGGGAGUCCUCCGGUGAAUUAAAGGUUCUGUUUGGCCAAACAAAAUUCUGAUGCAAGACUGAAAGAAUCCAGGAUCCUGGGGUCCCUAGGGGACCAUUUCAAUAUGCUAUCAAAGAGAGGAUUCAGAUUAAAAGAGGUUGCUGUCAAUUCCCCAGAUCUGAUGAGUCGGUUCCACUUUGGUGUGGAUGCUUCUCCAGCAAGAGAGGAGGAAGUUUAAUCGUAGAAUCACAUCCCGAGGCCCGUGACCACUUGGCUUGGCCGGUCCUUUUAUGUUCCUGUGGUCUGCUGGGAGAAGAACAUGGUU